GGCCGAGUGGCGGAAUGGCAGACGCUGGGGACUUAAAAUCCCCUGCCCGUAAUGGGCGUGUGGGUUCAACUCCCACCUCGGCUA
rnacentral:tRNA from 1 species